AGAGAGCUUCAUUAUUGUUCUUCAGUAAAAUAUUACAAUUGUCUGAAGAAGCUUCUUGAACAUCUGCCUAUAUCUGAAUGUAUAUUCAAAAUAUCUACACUAUAUUGGGUCAUUGGGCCAGAAAUAAAUAACAGACUAAUUACAACUUGGGCUUGGGCUGCUGCUUUGUUGUGUGGAUAUGCUGCUGCUGUGUUUGGGCUGCUUGAGUGGCCCAAUAACUCCAACACCCCCUGCAAGUUGGAGGGUGGCUGAACUCCCAAUUUGAGCAAGAUAGAGUGAUGCAAAAGGCCAGUAAGGGGUUUGGUAAAGAUAUCAGCAGGCUGAGAAGUAGUGGGGACAUGAUGCAAGACAAUAAUCCCCUCAUUAAGCUUGCCUCUGAUGAAAUGACAAUCCACCUCAAUAUGUUUGGUCCGCUCAUGAAAUACAGGAUUCUUGGCAAUGUGAAGGGUUACCUGAUUAUCAUAAUAAACUGGGACAAGAGAGGUAACAACAACUCCAAAAUUAGACAGUAAUCGAACGAGCCAGGUGAGCUCACCAACAACCUUGUUGAUGGCGCUAUACUCAGCCUCAGAAGAAGACAGAGAUACCACAGGCUGCUUCUUAGCCUUCCAACCAAUAAGGGAGCCACCUAACAGAACACAAAAACCAGAGACAGACCUUCUGGUGUCUGGGCAGGAUGCCCAGUCACUAUCACAAUAAGCAGAUAAGGAGAGGUCCGUUGUGUUGCUGAGAAAAAUGCCAAGGUCAGAAGUACCUCUAAGAUAUCUCAGGGUGUGAGAGGAGAGGUCAGGUGUGUUGCUGAGAAAAAUGCCAAGGUCAGAAGUGCCUCUGAGAUAUCUGAGGGUAUGCAAAGCUGCAUGCAUAUGUGAGGAAGUAGGCUUCUGGAGGUAUUGACUUAAAUGUUGGACAGCAAAGGCUAAGUCAGGUCGAGUGUGGGUGAGAAAAUUGAGUUUCCCCACUAAGCAUCUAUAGGAU
rnacentral:lncRNA from 1 species